UAUCCAAUGGAGGGCUAUGGUACAGAUGCCGUAAUUCAGCUGAAGGCCCUGUCCACAGAUUCAGUAGAGAAGCUUCCAGUGUUCAAUCAGACUGCCUUGCGCCAUUACAAAUUCAACCAGGAAGCUGAUGACUGGUGCGUCCCGAGCAAGGAGCCGCUGAACUUAGCUGCCUACAAGGUUGCAAAGUGAACCAUCAGAGCUGGCUGCCUUAAAGAUAUGAAAAAGUCUUUCAAGAGAUUGCCAAGAUAGACUUCCAUUGUGGAUGCUCGCAUUCCCUACUGAACUGGGGACCAGUGACAGCAUUUCCCAAUGCUCUUUGAGUACUGUUGCCUGGGAACACUUAAACGGCAUGUGGCCAGAAUUUAAGAUGCAAAACAGUAGAUUCCUUAGUAAAAAA